GAGUUUGAUCAUGGCUCAGAUUGAACGCUGGCGGCAUGCCUUACACAUGCAAGUCGAACGGCAGCGCGGACUUCGGUCUGGCGGCGAGUGGCGAACGGGUGAGUAAUACAUCGGAACGUACCUUGUUGUGGGGGAUAACUAGUCGAAAGAUUAGCUAAUACCGCAUACGACCUGAGGGUGAAAGCGGGGGACCGAAAGGCCUCGCGCAGCAGGAGCGGCCGAUGUCUGAUUAGCUAGUUGGUGGGGUAAAGGCCCACCAAGGCGACGAUCAGUAGCUGGUCUGAGAGGACGAUCAGCUACACUGGGACUGAGACACGGCCCAGACUCCUACGGGAGGCAGCAGUGGGGAAUUUUGGACAAUGGGGGCAACCCUGAUCCAGCAAUGCCGCGUGUGUGAAGAAGGCCUUCGGGUUGUAAAGCACUUUUGUCCGGAAAGAAAUUGCUCUGGCUAAUACCUGGGGUAGAUGACGGUACCGGAAGAAUAAGCACCGGCUAACUACGUGCCAGCAGCCGCGGUAAUACGUAGGGUGCGAGCGUUAAUCGGAAUUACUGGGCGUAAAGCGUGCGCAGGCGGUUUUGUAAGACAGGCGUGAAAUCCCCGGGCUCAACCUGGGAAUUGCGCUUGUGACUGCAAGGCUAGAGUGCGUCAGAGGGGGGUAGAAUUCCACGUGUAGCAGUGAAAUGCGUAGAGAUGUGGAGGAAUACCGAUGGCGAAGGCAGCCCCCUGGGACGUGACUGACGCUCAUGCACGAAAGCGUGGGGGGCAAACAGGAUUAGAUACCCUGGUAGUCCACGCCCUAAACGAUGUCAACUAGUUGUUGGGGAUUCAUUUUCUCAGUAACGUAGCUAACGCGUGAAGUUGACCGCCUGGGGAGUACGGUCGCAAGAUUAAAACUCAAAGGAAUUGACGGGGACCCGCACAAGCGGUGGAUGAUGUGGAUUAAUUCGAUGCAACGCGAAAAACCUUACCUACCCUUGACAUGCCACUAACGAAGCAGAGAUGCAUUAGGUGCCCGAAAGGGAAAGUGGACACAGGUGCUGCAUGGCUGUCGUCAGCUCGUGUCGUGAGAUGUUGGGUUAAGUCCCGCAACGAGCGCAACCCUUGUCUCUAGUUGCUACGCAAGAGCACUCUAGAGAGACUGCCGGUGACAAACCGGAGGAAGGUGGGGAUGACGUCAAGUCCUCGUGGCCCUUAUGGGUAGGGCUUCACACGUCAUACAAUGGUGCGUACAGAGGGUUGCCAACCCGCGAGGGGGAGCUAAUCCCAGAAAACGCAUCGUAGUCCGGAUCGUAGUCUGCAACUCGACUACGUGAAGCUGGAAUCGCUAGUAAUCGCGGAUCAGCAUGCCGCGGUGGAUACGU
rnacentral:rRNA from 1 species